rnacentral:rRNA from 1 species
UUAGUUCGUGGAGUGAUCUGUCUGCUUAAUUGCGUUUCAGAUAAAUGUGAGGUAUAGAGUGUAUGUUGUGUCUGUUUGUUGUGUUAACCCACGGCAGCGACCAGCUGAACUCUCCUCCAUUGAAAGCAACGAACGUGACCGCAACCCUUUGUUGAACCUAACCAGGUUAAUUUAACAACUAAGGGGACCGCCAGGGUUUGUAAAACCGGAGGAAGGUUGCGGCAAUAACAGGUCU